rnacentral:rRNA from 1 species
UACAGAGGUCUCAAGCGUUGUUCGGAUUCAUUGGGCGUAAAGGGUGCGUAGGCGGCGCGGUAAGUCGGGUGUGAAAUCUCGGAGCUUAACUCCGAAACUGCAUUCGAUACUGCCGUGCUUGAGGACUGGAGAGGAGACUGGAAUUUACGGUGUAGCGGUGAAAUGCGUAGAUAUCGGGAGGAACACCAGAGGCGAAGGCGGGCUACUGGGCCGAUACUGACGCUGAUGUGCGAAAGCCAGGGGAGCGAACGGG